rnacentral:rRNA from 1 species
UGCGCAGGCGGCCAAGUGUGUGAGGCGUGAAAGCCUGGGGCUUAACUCCAGAAUUGCACCUCAAACUACAUGGCUAGAGCAUUGGAGAGGGUAGCGGAAUUCACGGUGUAGCAGUGAAAUGCGUAGAUAUCGUGAGGAACACCAGAGGCGAAGGCGGCUACCUGGACAAUUGCUGACGCUCAGGCACGAAAGCGUGGGGAGCAAAAGGGAUUAGAUACCCCUGUAGUCCACGCCCUAAACGGUGCACACUAGGUCUUGGCGGAUUCGACCCCCCCAGGGCCCAAGCUAACGCGUUAAGUGUGCCGCCUGAGGACUACGGCCGCAAGGCUAAA